GCUAGCCUGGCUAAGGAUACUACCACACAGACCUCCACUGCCAAGCCUCCUACUCACCAACCCCAGAUCCAUCGCACACAAAAUGGAUGAGCAUAGCAACGAACAACUACACACAGAACUGCUGCAUGAUGAUUAUCACCGAAACCUGGCUGAACCCCCUCUACCCGGAUGCCGAGUCCGAGCUAGCUACCAAGGCAAGGUAAAAAUCUCACCUGUCCUUCUGGGUGGAGCUGGAGGUCCACUGUGUCUGACAGGAAGAGGACAGCCUGUUGUAACUUCCCUCUGAUGAGCCACCUGUAAAGUCUCAGUGAAAUGUGUUAUCACCGCCCAGGACGCCAACAGGAGGAAAAAGGAAAAAGUCAUGUAACCAUGAAGUGAAAGCUGAUGCAAACAAGGACAAGACACGAUGACAUUCAUUCAAAUGUGUCACUAUUCAGACAAUAGUAAUAGUGUAGCUGUGUUAUCACUAGCAAUUAUAUUAGAAAAAAUAACCAGCUACGAUAGCUACUAUAAUUUAGAAUUUUUAUACUUGAGAAGAGAGAGAGCCAUUAAGAUGUGCUGAGUAUUUCUUUCCAUUUUUAGUUAAGCUGACCAAAUAUUGUAUAUUCUUAAACACAAUAUUCCAUUGAUCGAUAUUCAACACUUUCUGCUCUUCUCUUUUCCAUACUAGUUUAAGUGCAUUCACACAUCACAGACUGGACCUCCAUUUUUUUUCACGUUUGUUUUCAACAUGUGAAUACACAGGGAACUCCUCCAACCACAAAACAUUUUAUCUGCAUGAAUAGUUGACAACAGAUAACUCAUAUUAAAGCAGGAAGAAGGCUCACAUGAGACCGUAGAGCUGUUUUACCCCUCCACGAAUACUUACUUACUUACUGUAGUGAGAUAUUACCUAUACACAAUAAUAUCCGUGUUACCAAAUUGGCUAGAGAGUGAAAACUAUAUGAGCAAACAUGUUAUGAUCAGACGUGUUCUCACUGUGAAAGAAAAUAGGUCUGUUUUUCUGUGACUCUCUACAAGGAGAUCAACACAUUUGGGAACAUUUGCACCUGACAAAAUAAUCAAACUAUUCAAAAAGAUCACCACCAAAAUUAAACGUUGAAAUAAACAAACUCCUCUCAGUCUCAGACAGUCUUUUUUGUUAUCAGAUAAAUACAUUUUUCCCUGCCUGAAACUUUGCAGACUGAACUCCAACACCAUCUCUCAGUGAACAACAGCACCAUCCAAACUACUGCAUGGUCAUGUUCACUGAAAAAAGAGUCUGAUAUACAUUAUGGGAAAGUGAUAGAAAUAUCACUGGCAAGAAAAGUAUCUAUAUUUCAAAUAGUUCAAAUCUAACAACUACAAACUAAAUAUGAAGCUUGAGAUGUUUUAUGUAACUAUGUACAAGUGACACUAUUCGGUCUACCUGAAACAAAUAAUGCAUGUACAGUAUGUGCAACAUAUGUGCUUGCUAGCUUUCCAAUAUAUUUUAAUUUGAUACAUUUCAGAUUAAAAAAUCUCUUGUAUCAACUGAUUCAAUAAUGUUUUGAAAUCCUAGUAAAUUAAACUAAAACUUAAAACACUGAAAAAUGUUUGAUUGAAAUCUAAUGACUUCAACUUAGUCAACUAAGAAACACAUUUUAUGGAGGACCACUCAGCAAAGAACAAACAUAAAAGAAAGUUUAACAAACUUGUUGACCUUAAUUCUAUAGUAAAGCACAACGCUGAUACCAGCAGGUGUUUUUACUUUCAGAUUAUAUUCAAACACCAUGAAUCGUCUGGGUUAUUUUUACUGUUUGCCUUCACACUCCACACAAUCACAACUUUUAACAGUGUAGCUGCCAUCACAUCUUUCCCCCAUUCAGAACUCCCUAAGAAAACAUGCUGAAAUAAAAGUUAACUACAUGGGAGGUUUACAGUUGACUCAACUCUAACAUUAACAACACCUGUUCACUUCCUUCUCACUCCACCCAAAAUUAUCAGAAUGUAAACCAAAAUAUUACAAAAAUAAAACAUUUCUUUACCAUUGUCAUGAUUUGGGGUCGACUCUCGCAGCUCAAGUCAUGGGGAAAUGUCUUUGUUUCGGUCUUUGGAUGCAAAUGGUUUUGAAGAUUGAA